rnacentral:tRNA from 1 species
GCACCCGUAGCUCAGCUGGAUAGAGCGUUGCCCUCCGAAGGCAAAGGUCGAGCGUUCGAAUCGCCCCGGGUGCACCA